ACACAAUCCACAUCGUGGGCUGCUGCUUCGACUCCACCACCACCAUUCCCCACAUGAGCUGUGACGAGGGCGAGAUGAGCCGCCGCCGCCCACUCUCGCCGGCGGUGGCGGCGGCGCCGCUGGAGGACGACAACCUGCUCUCUGAGAUCCUCCUCCGACUCCCUCCAGAUCCUUCAUCCCUCCCUCGCGCAUCCCUCGUCUCCAAGCGCUGGCUCGGCCUAAUCUCUGACCCCGGCUUCUCCGGCCGCUUCCGCCUCCACCACCGCAGCAACCCUCCCCUACUCGGUUUCUUCGACGACCUCCGCUUCAUACCUACAAUGGCUCCCCCCAAUCGUGUCCCGUGUGGCCGCUUUCCCUCGUGCAUCGACGACGACGACGGCCUCGGCCACUUCAUACCCUUGGGAUGCCGCCAUGGCCUCGUACUCAUCUUCCACCUUUCGCGGAAGCUGCUCCUGGUGUGGGACCCACGUCGACCAGCACCGCCUUGCCGUUCCCCCUGAGUUCGAUAUGGAGAAGGCCCGGUUCAGCGGGGCUGUGUUUCGCGCCGCCGGAGACAUCCGACGCUUUCAGGUGGUCUUGGUAACCAGAGACAGAUGAGCAACAACAUCCACGGGUCAUCGCCCGCGUUUACUCGUCGGAGACUGGAGGAUGGGGCGAUCGCAUCUCAACACCACUACCAUCCAAACUUCCCACCAAGAGACGUAUGGUCUUUACCAUGGAUGUGCUAGUUGGGCAUUCCCUUUACUGGUUGUUCAAUGACAGAUCGGCAAAAACUCCAAUAUUGGAUGGCAUACUUGAGUUUGAUUUGGAGAGGCAGAUCCUAGCUGUGAAACCGGUGCCAGUGUGUAUUCCCAAGGAAAACAUAUGGCAAUUCCAGGUUAUGCAGGCAGAGGGUGGUGGCCUUGGCAUUCUCUUUCUGUCAAAUUUCAGCGCCCAAUUAUGGGAGAUGGAGACCGAUUGUGAUGGCGCUGCUUCAUGGGUCCUAGGAAGAACUGUUGAACUGGAUAAGCUACUUCCCAUUGAUUCAGGGAAGAAGAAGAGAUGGCAUCGAUGGCACCGAAGUAUACAGGGGUUUGCUGAAUACAAUAACGUGGUGUUCCUACGGACACACACCGACCUCUUCAUGAUCCAGCUUGAGUCACUGCAAUUCAAGAAAGUUUCCAAAACCAACAUCUCGGGGUGGUAUCUUCCAUUCGAAAGUGUCUUUGUUGCAGGCAAGGGUAUUGGUGGUGGACAUGAUGGAGCUGAACGUUUACGUAAUACAUAAGAUGAUUGGUCACAUGGAUACGCUACUGUGACGUAUUAACUGAGUAUUAGCAGGAGGUCCAGAGAUGGGCUUGGGUUGGGCGUAGGUUCUUCUGUUCCGUAUGGCUGAGAACGAGAUGCAAAAUGGCCUGUUGGGGUGUUCCUGUGGUGUGCUCCCUCUUCGUACUACCACAACGGAGAACUGUGCGGUGGACUUUUAGGAAUUUGACUGCGUAUUUUGCUAAUCCGCAUCAAUUAUGUAAUGUUGAACUUUUAUCUGGUCCUUCCUAUUGAAUGUUGAAUGUUGAGCUGCAACUGUCUGCCUGCCUGGUACUCUACCUUCUUUCUCUUUUACCUUAGGAUGCGGUGACUGAAAGAUGCCUGAUUUUUGGUACUGCUUCCCUUUUCUUUUUGUUUGGGAUGCGGUGACUGAAGAAGCGUCUUUGCUCCAGUUCAUGUUGCCGCAACACGAGUUGCCUCUGCUGUGGGGUUUGUACACCGUGAAUCCGUGAUCGAUGAUGUCCUGCUUGCGCCCAUAGAAGAGCUCGACGGGGUGCCUGUCUGUCUAUAGUUGUUGUACCGUUAGAGAAUCUGUUUUCUGUGUUGCAAGUUGUUAUACCGGCAGGCCUGCCAAAAGAGCCGUAGUGAAGUUCUCCUGAAGCUGUGUGUGCCGGCAGGCCUGCCUAAAGAGCCGGUGGUGAAGAAGUCCCGGUCAAAGUGUAGGUCUGCCCGUGAAACCUGAUAAAAAAAUUCGUUACAGGAAAAAAAAAAUCUCUCCUCUCUUUGCUUAGUUCUUGUGCGCCUCUGACGACAUGGCACAAGACGUUUCGUUCAUAAUAGGAAGGUUUCAUUCAUGGUACCUCAGAAAAAGAA